CAUUUGAACGGUCGCGCUGAAGAAGCCGCGGAGCUUAUGGUAGCAUCGAUCCCGGCCGGAACUGAAUCCCCGCCGCGAGCGGCCUGACGUUCCUCGCGGCCCCUGGCCAACAGAGCUGUUGUUACCUGAAAAGUAACUCUUCAAAGAUGGAUCGAUUUUGCCAGAGCCUAGUGAGGAAAAUAACCAUAAAGAACAGACUGGCCGAAGGCGGCGUUCUUCAAUUUUGAAACCCCCACGUAGUCCUCUUCAAGACAUAAGAAGUGGAAAUGAAAUUAGUCAGGACUUCAUCACUACAAGAAGCCGGAAAAGCUCUCGUCGGGUCAGCUUUGCAGAAACCAUUCGGUAAGUUUAAAAAGGAGGUGAUUUAUAAAUUAUACUACUAAUGUGUUAAGCCCUAUGGGAUAAUAGAAGAAGUAAAUAGGAUAGUCUCUCGUUGGAUUAAACAAGCAUUUGAAAGUUCUAGUCUUGAAAAGUUUGUUUAAGCUUAUGUAAAGAUUGAGAUGUAUAGAUAUCUUGAAGAAAGGAA